GUUAGUACGCGUGGGAUGUACCCUUCUCUAAGGAAUAGCCUCGGGAAACUGAGAGUAAUACCUUAUACGCCCUUCGGGGGAAAGAUUUAUCGGAGAAGGAUCAGCCCGCGUUGGAUUAGGUAGUUGGUGGGGUAACGGCCUACCAAGCCUACGAUCCAUAGCUGGUUUGAGAGGAUGAUCAGCAACACUGGGACUGAGACACGGCCCAGACUCCUACGGGAGGCAGCAGUGGGGAAUCUUAGACAAUGGGCGCAAGCCUGAUCUAGCCAUGCCGCGUGAGUGACGAAGGCCUUAGGGUCGUAAAGCUCUUUCGCCAGAGAUGAUAAUGACAGUAUCUGGUAAAGAAACCCCGGCUAACUCCAUGCCAGCAGCCGCGGUAAUACGGAGGGGGUUAGCGUUGUUCGGAAUUACUGGGCGUAAAGCGCGCGUAGGCGGAUUAGUAAGUUAGGGGUGAAAUCCCGGGGCUUAACCCCGGAACUGCCUCUAAUACUGCUAGUCUUGAGUUCGAGAGAGGUGAGUGGAAUUCCGAGUGUAGAGGUGAAAUUCGUAGAUAUUCGGAGGAACACCAGUGGCGAAGGCGACUCACUGGCUCGAUACUGACGCUGAGGUGCGAAAGUGUGGGGAGCAAACAGGAUUAGAUACCCUGGUAGUCCACACCGUAAACGAUGAAUGCCAGUCGU
rnacentral:rRNA from 1 species